UACGGAAGAUGCGAGCGUUAUCCGGAUUUAUUGGGUUUAAAGGGAGCGUAGGCGGGAAGUUAAGUCAGCGGUCAAACACGGUUGCUCAACAAUCGUUCGCCGUUGAAACUGACUUUCUUGAAUGUAGUCAAGGCAGGUGGAAUUCGUGGUGUAGCGGUGAAAUGCUUAGAUAUCACGAAGAACUCCGAUAGCGAAGGCAGCCUGCUGGAGUAUGAUUGACGCUGAGGCUCGAAAGUGCGGGAAUCAAACAGG
rnacentral:misc_RNA from 1 species